AGUGAACGCUGGCGGCAGGCCUAAUACAUGCAAGUCGAACGGCAGCACGGCAGAGCUUGCUCUGUGGGUGGCGAGUGGCGGACGGGUGAGGAAUACAUGGGAAUCUGCCCAGUCGUGGGGGAUAACGUAGGGAAACUUACGCUAAUACCGCAUGCGCCCUUCGGGGGAAAGCCGGGGACCUUCGGGCCUGGCGCGAUUGGAUGAGCCCAUGUCGGAUUAGCUAGUUGGCGGGGUAAUGGCCCACCAAGGCGACGAUCCGUAGCUGGUCUGAGAGGAUGAUCAGCCACACUGGAACUGAGACACGGUCCAGACCCCUACGGGAGGCAGCAGUAGGGAAUAUUGGACAAUGGGCGCAAGCCUGAUCCAGCCAUGCCGCGUGAGUGAAGAAGGCCCUCGGGUUGUAAAGCUCUUUUGUCCGGAAAGAAAAGCGCCGGGUUAAUACCCUGGUGUCCUGACGGUACCGGAAGAAUAGCACCGGCUAACUCGUGCCAGCAGCCGAC
rnacentral:rRNA from 1 species